rnacentral:lncRNA from 1 species
UCGAAUAAUGCAUGACGAACUUCAAAAAAAAAAAGAAUAAUCAUGGAUCAUGGAUGAUGCAAUAAUUCAGAUUCUGAAAUUCGUGAACCAUGUAAGAAAGCUGAUUUAGAAAAAAAACCCAAUAUAUGAUUAUCUGUAUCACCAAAUUGCUGUUAUAUUUUAGAAAAAAAAAAAUUCCUCAAAAAUUCAUAGGUGAUAUGGAUUCUGAGAGUUGAUGUUGUAAAAAGUUGAGAUGAAGCGCGAAAUGGAACAAAACAUCAUAACAUUGCAUCAUACUGGAGUAGUUGCAGGAAGAAGCAAAAGCAG